rnacentral:lncRNA from 1 species
AUAAUGUCUCACGCAGGCCUGUUUCAUGGAUCUGGGCUGGGAAGGUCCAGAGGUCAGUGGUGGAAGCUAGAAAUUCUAUGCUAGCGGGAUGAAGGAUCUGCACUAGUAGGCUGAGGGAUCUGCACUGGAGCCAGGACGUGACACUCAAAGUAAGAACCAGAGCACCCCUGAAAAGUACCACAGCCAUCCUCAGCAACAGUGAGGUCCCGAGCUCCUCCGAUGAUGAGGAUGGCCGAGUUCCCAUCAGGAAAGCCAACCAACAAGCUUCUCCAGUACACUGAGCAGUGCAACAUCUUCCCCUCUGGAGUCAGGAAGCGACGCUCAAAGUGAGGACCGGAGCUCCCCCAAAGUGAACGGAGGCCAUUCUCAGCAACAACAAGGUCCCGAGCUCCUCGGACAAUGAGAACAACAGUUCAUCAGGAAAGCCAGCAUGACGAGCCCCUUCAAGAGAGCCAACAGCCCCUUACAGCUUCUCCCAGCUCCCAACAGCCUCAACUUCUUCUCCAGUUUUGCCUCUUAUGCUGCUGGCAACAGUCUUCAGAUUCCAAGAAGCUUCUGUUGGAGUCCACUUUCCCAAAUCACUUGCUAAAACUUCAACUUGGGGGUCACAAAGCCAAGCGUCUGCAGAGAACAGACAGCACAGAAAAAUAAAUGUUGGGAGCUGAAACAGCAACACCAUGGAUGAGAGGGACUGUGACAAACCGCAGAG